rnacentral:rRNA from 1 species
GAUGAACGCUAGCUACAGGCUUAACACAUGCAAGUCGAGGGGAAACGACAUCGAAAGCUUGCUUUUGAUGGGCGUCGACCGGCGCACGGGUGAGUAACGCGUAUCCAACCUGCCCAUCACUUGGGAAUAACCUUGCGAAAGUAAGACUAAUACCCAAUGACAUCCCACGAAGACAUCUGAAUGGGAUUAAAGAUUUAUCGGUGAUGGAUGGGGAUGCGUCUGAUUAGCUUGUUGGCGGGGUAACGGCCCACCAAGGCAACGAUCAGUAGGGGUUCUGAGGGGAAGGUCCCCCACAUUUGAACUGAGACACGGUCCAAACUCCUACGGGAGGCAGCAGUGAGGAAUAUUGGUCAAUGGGCGAGAGCCUGAACCAGCCAAGUAGCGUGCAGGAUGACGGCCCUAUGGGUUGUAAACUGCUUUUAUAAGGGAAUAAAGUGGGUCUCGUGAGACUUUUUGCAUGUACCUUAUGAAUAAGGACCGGCUAAUUCCGUG